rnacentral:rRNA from 1 species
GACGAACGCUGGCGGCGUGCUUAACACAUGCAAGUCGAACGGAAAGGCCCUGCUUUUGUGGGGUGCUCGAGUGGCGAACGGGUGAGUAACACGUGAGUAACCUGCCCUUGACUUUGGGAUAACUUCAGGAAACUGGGGCUAAUACCGGAUAGGAGCUCCUGCUGCAUGGUGGGGGUUGGAAAGUUUCGGCGGUUGGGGAUGGACUCGCGGCUUAUCAGCUUGUUGGUGGGGUAGUGGCUUACCAAGGCUUUGACGGGUAGCCGGCCUGAGAGGGUGGCCGGCCACAUUGGGACUGAGAUACGGCCCAGACUCCUACGGGAGGCAGCAGUGGGGAAUAUUGCACAAUGGGCGGAAGCCUGAUGCAGCAACGCCGCGUGCGGGAUGACGGCCUUCGGGUUGUAAACCGCUUUCGCCUGUGACGAAGCGUGAGUGACGGUAAUGGGUAAAGAAGCACCGGCUAACUACGUGCCAGCAGCCGCGGUGAUACGUAGGGUGCGAGCGUUGUCCGGAUUUAUUGGGCGUAAAGGGCUCGUAGGUGGUUGAUCGCGUCGGAAGUGUAAUCUUGGGGCUUAACCCUGAGCGUGCUUUCGAUACGGGUUGACUUGAGGAAGGUAGGGGAGAAUGGAAUUCCUGGUGGAGCGGUGGAAUGCGCAGAUAUCAGGAGGAACACCAGUGGCGAAGGCGGUUCUCUGGGCCUUUCCUGACGCUGAGGAGCGAAAGCGUGGGGAGCGAACAGGCUUAGAUACCCUGGUAGUCCACGCUGUAAACGGUGGGUACUAGGUGUGGGGUCCAUUCCACGGGUUCCGUGCCGUAGCUAACGCUUUAAGUACCCCGCCUGGGGAGUACGGCCGCAAGGCUAAAACUCAAAGGAAUUGACGGGGCCCCGCACAAGCGGCGGAGCAUGCGGAUUAAUUCGGUGCAACGCGUAGAACCUUACCUGGGUUUGACAUGGAUCGGGAGCGCUCAGAGAUGGGUGUGCCUCUUUUGGGGUCGGUUCACAGGUGGUGCAUGGCUGUCGUCAGCUCGUGUCGUGAGAUGUUGGGUUAAGUCCCGCAACGAGCGCAACCCUUGUUCACUGUUGCCAGCACGUUAUGGUGGGGACUCAGUGGAGACCGCCGGGGUCAACUCGGAGGAAGGUGGGGAUGACGUCAAGUCAUCAUGCCCCUUAUGUCCAGGGCUUCACGCAUGCUACAAUGGCUGGUACAGAGAGUGGCGAGCCUGUGAGGGUGAGCGAAUCUCGGAAAGCCGGUCUCAGUUCGGAUUGGGGUCUGCAACUCGACCUCAUGAAGUCGGAGUCGCUAGUAAUCGCAGAUCAGCAACGCUGCGGUGAAUACGUUCCCGGG